AUGCAUGCCUGUGUUGAAAACUAUGCACUGUGGGUGUGGUACCAGGAAUCGGUCAAGGGACAUGUCCCUUCCAGCCUGGGACACAGCCUCAUCAGUGUGAGGUCAUGGAACUGGUGGGAUCACACUGUGGCCUGGGCCCCUCCUCUCCUGGCAGUGCUCACCCACAGCACAGGUUCCCUGGUCCAGGCAGCAGUGACUCAGCCAUCCGAGGUGUCAGCCAACGUGGGGGACACGGUCAGGAUCACCUGCUCUGGGCUUAGCAGCAGCUACAGCUGUGGCUGGUUCCAGCAGAAGGUCCCUGGCAGUGGCCCUGUCACUGUGAUCUAUGCUAAUGACAAGAGACCCUCGGGCAUCCCUUCGCGAUUCUCCGGAUCCCGCUCUGGCACCACGGGCACCUUAACCAUCACUGGGGUCCAAGCUGAGGACGAGGCUGUCUAUUUUUGUGGUCACUAUGACAGCAGCAGUGGUGGCUAUGAUGUAUGA